ACACCUAUGGUGAAGUGGUUAUCAUGCUUGCCUUCCAUGGAUUUGUCCAUAAAGCAAGCGGCACGGGUUCAAUUCCCGUUGGGUGUA
rfam:Plicaturopsis crispa FD-325 SS-3 unplaced genomic scaffold PLICRscaffold_20, whole genome shotgun sequence.